rnacentral:misc_RNA from 1 species
GAUGAAGAACGCAGUGAAAUGCGAUAAGUAGUGUGAAUUGCAGAAUUCAGUGAAUCAUCGAAUCUUUGAACGCACAUUGCGCCCUUUGGUAUUCCUUAGGGCAUGCCUGUUCGAGCGUCAUUUAAACCUUCAAGCUCAGCUUGGUGUUGGGUGACUGUCCGCUUCACCGCGGACUCGCCUCAAAAUUAUUGGCGGCCGGUACAUUGGCUCUCGAGCGCAGCAGAAACGCGUAACUCGAGGUCCUCGUGCUGGCUCCCAGAAGCUAUCUUCACAAUUUUGACCUCGGAUCAGGUAGGGAUACCCGCUGAACUUAAGCAUAUCAAUAAGCGGAGGA